AUUGAACGCUGGCGGCAUGCCUUACACAUGCAAGUCGAACGGUAACAGGUCUUCGGAUGCUGACGAGUGGCGAACGGGUGAGUAAUACAUCGGAACGUGCCCAGUCGUGGGGGAUAACGCAGCGAAAGCUGCGCUAAUACCACAUACGAUCUAUGGCUGAAAGCGGGGGACCGUAAGGCCUCGCGCGAUUGGAGUGGCCGAUGUCAGAUUAGGUAGUUGGUGGGGUAAAGGCUCACCAAGCCAACGAUCUGUAGCUGGUCUGAGAGGACGACCAGCCACACUGGGACUGAGACGCGGCCCAGACUCCUACGGGAGGCAGCAGUGGGGAAUUUUGGACAAUGGGCGCAAGCCUGAUCCAGCAAUGCCGCGUGCAGGAAGAAGGCCUUCGGGUUGUAAACUGCUUUUGUACGGAACGAAACGGUCCUGGUUAAUACCUGGGGCUAAUGACGGUACCGUAAGAAUAAGCACCGGCUAACUACGUGCCAGCAGCCGCGGUAAUAC
rnacentral:rRNA from 1 species